UAGAAAGUAGUAUAAACGGUGAAACANAGAAUUUGAUUUCUUUAAUAUAAGUUCAACCNUUAUCUUUCUAA
rnacentral:tRNA from 1 species